rnacentral:rRNA from 1 species
UACGUAGGGUGCAAGCGUUAUCCGGAAUCACUGGGCGUAAAGCGUGCGUAGGUGGCGCAUUAAGUGAGUGGUGAAAGGUUCGGGCUCAACCCGGACACUGCCUUUCAUACUGGGGACCUUGAGUGCGGGAGGGGCGAGUGGAAUGGUCGGUGUAGCGGUGAAAUGCGUAGAUAUCGAUCGGAACACCCAUGGCGAAGGCAGCUCGCUGGCCUGCAACUGACGCUGAGGCGCGAAAGCGUGGGGAGCAAACAGG